rnacentral:rRNA from 1 species
UACGUAGGGGGCGAGCGUUGUCCGGAGUUACUGGGCGUAAAGGGCGUGCAGGCGGUUUGUUAAGUGCAGGAGUGAAAGCUCCCGGCUCAACUGGGAGAGGUCUUUGCAUACUGGCAAACUCGAGGGAGGCAGAGGAAAGUGGAAUUCCCGGUGUAGUGGUGGAUAUGCGUAGAUAUCGGGAGGAACACCUGUGGCGAAGGCGGCUUCUCG